rnacentral:lncRNA from 1 species
AAUGCUAUCAAAUUUUACUUCUUACUAAAUCAAGAGAUUAAGUUCAAUUCUAAAAAUUGACAUAUUCCACUUAUACUUUUUCUAUCAAUUUUACAUUCAUCAUGAUCAACAUCAGAAUAACCAAUCAAAUUAAUUGAAGUGUGCUUAGAAUACCAUAAAUCUAAAUUUUGAAUAUCCAUCGAAUAUUUUAGAAUUUUUUUAACAGCAAGCACAUGAGAUUUUUUAGGAUUAG